CUGAUAUCUGCUUGUUUUAGCAACCGUCUUCAUUACUAGAAGAAACAGCUCUUCCUUUAAAUAAUAUCUAAACAGCAGACUGAACAAGCCUCAUCCUCUCACUGUCUCCUCACCUCCUCACCCUGAUACAGUGGAUUGACCCUUAGUUUUCCACUCUAAGAGAGAGAGAGAGAAAAGCGGGAAGGAAAUGGCUCUGGAGACCCAUCCUGGAUGCUCUUGAUGCUGUUGGAGAAAAUGAAGAAGGGAAGGAUACACUGCCCUGGUCGCAUUCAAGCAAAACUAUCAUCAGUUACACCUGUUCUGAUGUACUAUCCUGUGUACUGAAGCACCUCAAAAUCCACACUUCCUCUCAGACCUCACCGCUGUCAUUCUCGGUGUCGCACCACAGUCCUCUGCAAUCUUUCCUCCUGCCUGGAACGCUGCUGAUGAAUCUCGUAUUGUCACAACGUGAGGUUAUUCCUGCUGCUGCUUUAGUUAUUGAACACAAAACCAGUUCUGGCACUGCCCCUGUUACAAUCUGGCUGUCUAUUUGUCUCUCCCCAAGAAACUGGGAUAGGGAGGAAAUAUUCCUGCUGCUAUUCUGGAGGCUGUUAAUGGCUUCUAGAACAGUAGUAUCCAAACAAAACAUUUAGCACUGUUAGCAUCACUAAAUAACAAAAGAAUUCCUCUAACAGAAGCCAGAAUUAUACUUGGUCAAGGUCCACCUAACAUGUUCCCGAAAAACUUCCAGUGAUGGAAAUUCCAUAUUCUCUCCACGCUGUCUAGUCCAGUGUUUCAGAAAAACCAAAACAAACCAAAAUAAGCCAAGCCAAAGGGGGUGGGGGGGAGCAAGGGGAGAGAGUGCUAACUACUUCACAUUUUUAAGACAGGAUUGGAAAAAAAUAAUUUUUUUUGCAUAAUAACUUUUACCAAGAAAGUAAAAGGCCUGUGUUUAAUUACAUGCUCAAACACACAGAAUAGCUGAUUUCAUCAGACUAAUAUCUAAAAGCCAUGCGUUUUUUUUAGUAAGCUACCAUGGCACAUGCUGCCAGCCAUAUUUGAAAAGAAAAUAGUGAUCUCUGAUUUACAAGUUUCCGUGCUCAGAGGAAACAUUAAGAUAUCAAUGUUCUACCAGAGAUAGAACAUUUAAAACAGUUCUUGUUCAUCUCAAUAAUGCAAGAAGUGGCAGCUUCAUAAGAAAUGUCCAUGUGCAAUAACAUAACAAAACUCAUCAAAAUAAAGCAAUAUUUAUCAAAAUCAUCUUCCACGGAUAAAUAUAUUUUUAAAUUAGCCAAAUUAUGUAACAGCAAUGAUUUUUAUUAGAUAACUGAAGAGAUAAUCUUACUGAUAAAUUUCUGCUUUCAAUCCAGGAAUUUGUGCCUCUGU